GGGCCGUUAGCUCAGUUGGCUAGAGCACCUGCAUGACGCGCAGGGGGUCGGGGGUUCAAAUCCCUCACGGCCCACAA
rnacentral:tRNA from 2 species